UACGUAGGGGGCAAGCGUUGUCCGGAAUCAUUGGGCGUAAAGCGCGUGUAGGCGGUUCUGUAAGUCUGCUGUGAAAGGCCAGGGCUCAACCCUGGGAUGCCGGUGGAUACUGCAGGGCUAGAGUACGGAAGAGGCGAGUGGAAUUCCCGGUGUAGCGGUGAAAUGCGCAGAUAUCGGGAGGAACACCUAUUGCGAAGGCAGCUCGCUGGGACGUUACUGACGCUGAGACGCGAAAGCGUGGGGAGCAAACAGG
rnacentral:rRNA from 1 species